rnacentral:rRNA from 1 species
GACAGAGGGUGCAAACGUUGUUCGGAAUUACUGGGCGUAAAGCGUGUGUAGGCGGCCACGUAAGUCGGAUGUGAAAGCCCCAGGCUCAACCUGGGAAGUGCACUCGAUACUGCGUGGCUUGAGUAUCGGAGAGGUUGGUGGAAUUCUCGGUGUAGAGGUGAAAUUCGUAGAUAUCGAGAGGAACACCGGUGGCGAAGGCGGCCAACUGGACGAAUACUGACGCUGAGACACGAAGGCGUGGGGAGCAAACAGG